rnacentral:rRNA from 1 species
AGAGUUUGAUCAUGGCUCAGGACGAACGCUGGCGGCGUGCUUAACACAUGCAAGUCGAACGGAAAGGCCCUUCGGGGUGCUCGAGUGGCGAACGGGUGAGUAACACGUGGGUGAUCUGCCCUGCACUUUGGGAUAAGCCUGGGAAACUGGGUCUAAUACCGAAUAGGACUCCGGACUGCAUGGUCUGGGGUGGAAAGCUUUUGCGGUGUGGGAUGGGCCCGCGGCCUAUCAGCUUGUUGGUGGGGUAAUGGCCUACCAAGGCGACGACGGGUAGCCGGCCUGAGAGGGUGACCGGCCACACUGGGACUGAGAUACGGCCCAGACUCCUACGGGAGGCAGCAGUGGGGAAUAUUGCACAAUGGGCGCAAGCCUGAUGCAGCGACGCCGCGUGAGGGAUGACGGCCUUCGGGUUGUAAACCUCUUUCAGUAGGGACGAAGCGAAAGUGACGGUACCUACAGAAGAAGGACCGGCCAACUACGUGCCAGCAGCCGCGGUAAUACGUAGGGUCCGAGCGUUGUCCGGAAUUACUGGGCGUAAAGAGCUCGUAGGUGGUUUGUCGCGUUGUUCGUGAAAACUCACAGCUUAACUGUGGGCGUGCGGGCGAUACGGGCAGACUAGAGUACUGCAGGGGAGACUGGAAUUCCUGGUGUAGCGGUGGAAUGCGCAGAUAUCAGGAGGAACACCGGUGGCGAAGGCGGGUCUCUGGGCAGUAACUGACGCUGAGGAGCGAAAGCGUGGGUAGCGAACAGGAUUAGAUACCCCGGUAGUCCAA